rnacentral:tRNA from 1 species
AGGGGCAUAGCUCAGCUGGCAGAGCACCGGUCUCCAAAACCGGGUGUCCAAGGUUCGAAUCCUUGUGCCCCUGCCA